rnacentral:rRNA from 1 species
UACGGAAGGGGCAAGCGUUGUUCGGAAUCAUUGGGCGUAAAGGGUGCGUAGGCGGCGCGGUAAGUCGGGGGUGAAAUCUCGGAGCUUAACUCCGAAACUGCAUUCGAUACUGCCGUGCUUGAGGACUGGAGAGGAGACUGGAAUUUACGGUGUAGCGGUGAAAUGCGUAGAUAUCGUAAGGAAGACCAGUGGCGAAGGCGGGUCUCUGGACAGUUCCUGACGCUGAGGCACGAAGGCCAGGGGAGCAAACGGG